rnacentral:rRNA from 1 species
UACGAAGGGGGCUAGCGUUGUUCGGAAUCACUGGGCGUAAAGGGCGCGUAGGCGGCUAUGCAAGUCAGGCGUGAAAGCCCCGGGCUCAACCCGGGAAUUGCGUUUGAUACUGUGUGGCUCGAGUCCGGGAGAGGAUGGCGGAAUUCCCAGUGUAGAGGUGAAAUUCGUAGAUAUUGGGAAGAACACCGGUGGCGAAGGCGGCCAUCUGGACCGGUACUGACGCUGAGGCGCGAAAGCGUGGGGAGCAAACAGG